rnacentral:rRNA from 1 species
AUACGUAGGGGGCGAGCGUUGUCCGGAAUGAUUGGGCGUAAAGGGCGCGUAGGCGGCCCGGUAAGUCUGGAGUGAAAGUCCUGUUUUUAAGAUGGGAAUUGCUUUGGAUACUGUCGGGCUUGAGGGUAGGAGAGGCAAGUGGAAUUCCCAGGGUAGCGGUGAAAUGCGUAGAGAUUGGGAGGAACACCAGUGGCGAAGGCGACUUACUGGACUGUAACUGACGCUGAGGCGCGAAAGUGUGGGGAGCAAACAGGAUUAGAUACCCUGGUAGUCCACACUGUAAACGAUGAAUGCUAGGUGUAGGGGGUAUCGACCCCUUCUGUGCCGCAGUCAACACAAUAAGCAUUCCGCCUGGGGAGUACGGCCGCAAGGUUGAAACUCAAAUGAAUUGACGGGG